UACGAAGGGGGCUAGCGUUGUUCGGAAUCACUGGGCUUAAAGAGUCCGUAGGCGGCAUGUUAGGUGAGGUGUGAAAUCCCCCGGCUCAACCGAGGAAUUGCGCUUCAAACCGGCGUGCUUGAGGAAGAUAGAGGUGGGCGGAACUGAUGGUGGAGCGGUGAAAUGCGUUGAUAUCAUCAGGAACACCGGAGGCGAAGGCGGCCCACUGGGUCUUACCUGACGCUGAGGAGCGAAAGCGUGGGGAGCAAACAGG
rnacentral:rRNA from 1 species